UACGGGAGGCAGCAGUGGGGAAUAUUGCACAAUGGGCGCAAGCCUGAUGCAGCCAUGCCGCGUGUGUGAAGAAGGCCUUCGGGUUGUAAAGCACUUUCAGCGGGGAGGAAGGCGUUAAGGUUAAUAACCUUGUCGAUUGACGUUACCCGCAGAAGAAGCACCGGCUAACUCCGUGCCAGCAGCCGCGGUAAUACGGAGGGUGCAAGCGUUAAUCGGAAUUACUGGGCGUAAAGCGCACGCAGGCGGUCUGUCAAGUCGGAUGUGAAAUCCCCGGGCUCAACCUGGGAACUGCAUUCGAAACUGGCAGGCUAGAGUCUUGUAGAGGGGGGUAGAAUUCCAGGUGUAGCGGUGAAAUGCGUAGAGAUCUGGAGGAAUACCGGUGGCGAAGGCGGCCCCCUGUACAAAGACUGACGCUCAGGUGCGAAAGCGUGGGGAGCAAACAGGAUUAGAUACCCUGCUAGUCCACGCCGUAAACGAUGUCGAUUUGGAGGUUGUGCCCUUGAGGCGUGGCUUCCGGAGCUAACGCGUUAAAUCGACCGCCUG
rnacentral:rRNA from 1 species